CUGCGCCCUCCCGCGCCGCCCGGGCCUGGCACUGCGGGGCGAGCGGGCAAAGGCGGCCGGGCGUCUGGGCGCUGAGCUCGCCCAGAGCUGGGGAGAAGAGCGAGCGAGCGAACCAUGACCAGGAUGGAAAAGAGUAGUAUACACCAGAGCACUCUUAAACCAUUGGCAUUACACUAUCAUCAGACUCUCCAAUGCCAUGCAUCUUAAUUUCUCAUUGCAUCUUGGAACAUGAAUUUAUCAUGGAAUGAGCAUAUGGUUAAAUUCCAGACCUCCUUCUUUGGCUUAAAGGUCCUAAAACAUCCAGCCACUGCUCAUCAGUCCAACAUCGUUUAAUUUUCCCACCCUUCUUUUGUAUGCCUCCUCAUCUCUGAGUAAGUGACCCAUGUUUUCCUAUUUGAACUUCCUGCCACACUCUCUUUCUCACAGCUGGAUUCUCUUCAUUCCAUAGUUCUUGGCUUAGUGGUCAUGAAAGGUCCGAUUUGACAUCUCCGAGGUCACUUACAACAAUGUAUUACAACUGCCUUGCUUCAUUUGUCUGCCACUUUCGCCUACAAGCUUCCAGGGCAGGAACUUUGUCGUCUUCACUCUUCUAAGUUUGACGCCUGAAAUCAGCUUGGCUCAUAAUAGACACUCAAUAAACAUGUGUUGAAUGAAUAAGUAGCAUUGUAAACUUUCACCCAUGUUUCUUUAAACCUACUUUUCCAAAUACUUUUCCAUCUUU